rnacentral:tRNA from 1 species
GGCAAGAUAAUCUAAGCAAAAGGAUAUAAGGCUCAUGACCUUAAAGUGCUGUUUGGCUCUUGUUUUUACUA